CAGUAUUUUUUACUAUUAUAUUACUGUGAUAGUUGUCGCUGUUGUUUUAGGAGUUAGUAUAGGAAGGCAUGAUUCAAAUUAUACUUUUCAAGUUCAUAGUUUGUAUCAAAUUCAUAAAAUGAUUUAUUAGUAUAUAAAAUUAGUUAUUUUGAUAAUAAGAAGCGAUCUUAUAACAAAUGAAUUUAU
rnacentral:sRNA from 1 species